UAGUGCUUCCCCAGCCCAGCGGCUCGGGCGGCGCAGCCCGCGCUCGGGAAACAACUGCGGAGUCGGGCUGCUCGGGCCAGCCCCCUCCCUCGCCCGGCCCCCGCCCGCCGCCGCCGAGCGCGUAGCGAGCUCAACUCCAGUAUCUCUUCUUUAGGGAAUGGCUCUCCCAGCACCCCAUGCUUUUCCUGACAAACCCUGAUCUCACUCCGUGAUUUUGUGUCCUCUAGGAUGACCUUUCCGUAAGUGUCUGUGCGGAGUCGUGUACACAGCGAUCCGAUGGGCAUCCAGCGCAUACUACGUGGUGUCCAGUGAUGCCUUACUGGGUCUUUGUGGGGCAUUUGGAGCGACUAAGGCUUGGUGGCCAGAUGUCCCUUAAUAAUAGGUGGUUAAGCAAACUGGGACACAGCCAUGGAGCGUACCCAAGAAUGAGAAGGAGCCAGCCGCUGAGACCUGUAUCAGAUUGGAUGCACCUCCAGGAAAUGAUGCUGGGUGCAGAAGAUCAAACCAAGAAGGAAUUUAAGUGUCUUGAGAAUCUCUGCCCAUGAUGAAGCUGUUCGAGCCUUGCAGUGUAGGAUGUGUUGAGAGCUCCAAAAUAUAUUUUUGAAGACUUGGAAGAGGAGAUCGAACAUAAAUGAGAAGCAUUCAAAGCUUACGCAAAAAAGUUGAUAAACCUUCAAUAUGCAUUUUUCUUAGAAUUUGGAAGGAUGCUUUGGAACAUGUCAAUAAAAGAAGUGAGAAAACACAGACUCCUAAUUUGGAUGAAAAUGAACCUAUUGUGUCGUCUUUAAAUUUAUUAAAGAACUGAGAGCAGCAUAAGUGUACAGAAAUUGGAUUCCCAUGUCGUAUGCCCAAAGUGAAUGUAACAUGUGGUCAACUCUACUCCAGUGAACUAAUAUAAAAUAAUAAUGGGAAACCAAACAAAAAAGAGCUGAGAGCAAAUUAACGGAUUAUAUACAAAAUGUAAUUUAAAAAACCAUGAAAUUGAUAGAAAUCAUUCUGACGUUAAAGAUUAUGAAAAAAUUUUAAAGAAAUGUCAAAGGUAGAAAUUCAUUAAGAGAAAGAUAUUCUCUUUCUAAUGGAAGUGAUGACUAAGCCCUCAGAUUUUUUGAUAACUAGAUUAGUUAACUGAAAGGAUCAAACAUUUGUACACAUUGGGAAAAGAUAGAAGUUUCUUGCUGAUUUGCACACAAACAUGGAUAUCAACAAUAUAAUUUAAACUUAAAACACAUAAUAUAAUGAGGACAUCGACAGCAAAGUGGUUAAUGAGUUUCAUCAAUUCAGAGAAUUUGAGGACAGCAAGAUGAGUCACCGCCCAAGAAAACUCGGAAUACCCUGAAAUUUCACAGCUCAUAUAUAAACCUUCAGAAGUUUUUCUCAGUUUUGACAACAAUCCUGAAAUUUACACAGCCGCCCCAGAAAUUAGCAAGAAGUGCAAAGAAUUGGUUCUAAACUGUUAAGAAUAAAAAUAAAAUUUCUAUCCACCAUGGGA